GAUGAACGCUGGCGGCGUGCCUAAUACAUGCAAGUCGAGCGAACGGACGAGAAGCUUGCUUCUCUGAUGUUAGCGGCGGACGGGUGAGUAACACGUGGAUAACCUACCUAUAAGACUGGGAUAACUUCGUGAAACCGGAGCUACUACCGGAUGAUAUUUUGAACUGCUUGGUUCAAAAGUGAAAGACGGUCUUGCUGUCACUUAUAGAUGGAUCCGCGCUGCAUUAGCUAGUUGGUAAGGUAACGGCUUACCAAGGCAACGAUGCAUAGCCGACCUGAGAGGGUGAUCAGCCACACUGGAACUGAGACACGGUCCAGACUCCUACGGGAGGCAGCAGUAGGGAAUAUUCCGCAAUGGGCGAAAGCCUGACGGAGCAACGCCGCGUGGGUGAUGAAGGUCUUCGGGUCGUAAAACUCUUUUAUUGGGGAAGAACAUAUGUGUAAGUAACUGUGCACAUCUUGACGGUACCUAAUCAGAAAGCCACGGCUAACUACGUG
rnacentral:rRNA from 1 species